CAAGAUGGAGGCUAAACAGGAAGUAGCAGUUAGCUAGCUGUAGCAGUAGCAUUCACACAACCCCAACUCCAUGUUGUACAGAGACCGAGCUAAAAUGGAGGACUGGAGGAACAUUUACUACUGGAGCUCCUGGAGCUGUGUUCACGAGCUCCUCUUACGGUUCCCAGUUUGACUCAUUCUUCAUUCUGCGACUGGCUGACCCAGUUUUUGCAACACCGUACCUACGGCCUAGACUCUCCAUAGACAUACCUUACGUUGUAGCCUAGGAUGUAGCCAGACGUGCCAACCUGGUCUCACUCCAAAGUUGUAAAAAAGCGCUGCUUGGGCAGUUACUUCCAGUGUCAGACACUGACAAAAAAGCUGUCCUUUCGUGUCAGCACGAUAUGCAGCCAUUGGUCGUUAUUGUUUAAUGGCACCUGGCGGCAUCAGGGGGAAACACGGCGAGACAACAAUUAAAGUUAAGAUGGUGAAAGUCCAAGUAGGGUGGGUGGAAGGGGUGGUGGAUGGGUCCAACAACCACUGACUGUCACCUGUGAGGCCAGUGUUUGCUUCCUGUAAACCAAGCCCUGUUCUUUUUCCCUAAACCCAACCAUGUGUGUGUUGUUGAAGGAAAUAAAUAUCAAUUCAUGGUGUGGUAACGAUGUAGUGCGUUUAUUUUUAAAGAGACUGUAUGCAAACUGUACUUUUCCUGUGUAAGGGUAGGGUAUUUUAAAAGUAGACUAAAGCAACGACGUCCUCCUGUCUGUUUCUGUAAGCUGAAACCAUUUCCCUCAGUGGAAAUGAAGCUUUAUUUACUUUAUUAGACAGAUAAGAAACAAUAAAUCGUGACAGCAAUAAAGCCUCCACACAAUGGCAUUUUAAAUCUUGCGUCUGAUUUAUUGUGGCUUCAUAUGAGUACAGGAAAAUCCGCUAGCCACUAGGUUAAACAGUAUGAAAGUCUUACAGGCUUGUGCUAAUAACGUUAGCAUGUUACAUUUGUUUGGAAAACGUGUUUAGUAUCAGACAGUUGUUUUGCCGGUGAACCUUGUGAGUUGUAAUGGAGCUGAAUUUUGUAACAUUACCUUUGUUAAAUGUUUCUGUUGUCCAUGGCUUUAUAUGAGAAGAGGAAAUCUACGCUAGCUGCUAGGCUAGUUUAUACAAUGUAAAAUGCCAUAGGCUUGGUGCUAAUAAUGUUAGCAUGUUAUAUUUGUUUGGAAAACAUGUUUAGUAUAAGACAGUUGUUUUGUCAGUGAAUGUUGUGAGUUGUAAUUGAGCCAGAUUUUGAACUUUUGUUUAAUGUUAUUACUAUUAAGCCAUGUUUCAUGUGUGUUUUGAA